rnacentral:snRNA from 1 species
AGUUUCCCUUGUUUGGGCAU